UAAUACGGGGGGGGCGAGCGUUGUUCGGAUUUACUGGGCGUAAAGGGCUUGUAGGCGGUGGUCUAUGUCGGUUGUGAAAUCCCCAGGCUCAACCUGGGAACUGCAGCCGAAACUGGGUCACUAGAAGCCGGGAGAGGGAUGCGGAAUUCCAGGUGUAGCGGUGAAAUGCGUAGAUAUCUGGAGGAACACCCGUGGCGAAGGCGGCAUCCUGGACCGGUCUUGACGCUGAGGAGCGAAAGCUAGGGUAGCAAACGGGAUUAGAUACCCCGGUAGUCCUAGCCCUAAACGAUGAAUGCUUGGUGUGGCGGGUAUCGAUCCCUGCCGUGCCGGAGUUAACGCGUUAAGCAUUCCGCCUGGGGAGUACGGUCGCAAGGCUG
rnacentral:rRNA from 1 species